GAUGAACGCUGGCGGCGCGCCUAACACAUGCAAGUCGAACGGUUAAAGCACCUUCGGGUGUGUAUAAAGUGGCGAACGGCUGAGUAACACGUGGGCAACCUGCCCCUCGCACCGGGACAGCCUCGGGAAACCGUGGAUAAUACCGGAUACUCCGGACCCUCCGCAUGGCGGGUCCGGGAAAGCCCAGACGGCGAGGGAUGGGCCCGCGGCCUGUUAGCUUGUUGGUGGGGGCAACGGCCCACCAAGGCGA
rnacentral:rRNA from 1 species